AUGAACGCUGGCGGCGUGCCUAAUACAUGCAAGUCGAGCGAACGGACGAGAAGCUUGCUUUUCUGAUGUUAGCGGCGGACGGGUGAGUAACACGUGGAUAACCUACCUAUAAGACUGGGAUAACUUCGGGAAACCGGAGCUAAUACCGGAUAAUAUUUUGAACCGCAUGGUUCAAAAGUGAAAGACGGUCUUGCUGUCACUUAUAGAUGGAUCCGCGCUGCAUUAGCUAGUUGGUAAGGUAACGGCUUACCAAGGCAACGAUGCAUAGCCGACCUGAGAGGGUGAUCGGCCACACUGGAACUGAGACACGGUCCAGACUCCUACGGGAGGCAGCAGUAGGGAAUCUUCCGCAAUGGGCGAAAGCCUGACGGAGCAACGCCGCGUGAGUGAUGAAGGUCUUCGGAUCGUAAAACUCUGUUAUUAGGGAAGAACAUAUGUGUAAGUAACUGUGCACAUCUUGACGGUACCUAAUCAGAAAGCCACGGCUAACUAUGUG
rnacentral:rRNA from 1 species